CUCUUGUUUCAGUUUAGUUUCUGGUUUCUUAACCAAUGGAUCUUUGACAGCUGGAGUUACAGAAACAACUGCAGGGGCUGGUUUCUGCGGUGGUUUCUGAGUUUUUUGAGCCUGCAAAAAUCAGUGGAUUAAAUCAGAUACAAAAUCUUAACUGAAUAUACAGAAAGAUAAUAAUCCCUCACAGGACUCAUCACUGAAAUGAAAUACAGUUGAACAUUUUAAAAAAUAGUGUGAUGAUAAUGAAUAUAUAUGCUCUUUGACAAAUUAUUAUCAUAUUAAUGGUCUUACAGAUUGUAUUAGUUUCUAAACAGUAAAGAUAAUAUUAAGCUUUAGAAAUAAUACAGAAGAGGGUUAGUUAAAUACCAUUUUAACAAGAUAAAAUUGUUUUUUAAAGAGCAAAAUCACAAACUAUAUGUAACCGUUAGCUUUACUCAUGAUGAAGUACAUUUAUUUCUCAUUGGGGUUUGUCAAAUACACAAGAGUUUUCUUCUUGGGGUCUAGGCAUAAGUCGACUCCUCAGUUGCUGAGGGCAAAUUAAAACACAGCUCAGAUCAUUUAUAUGGUUUUAAAUAUAGAACAGGGAGAAAAAAACUAUUGAUAAAUGAUUAAACUUUUUGAGGUUUUUCCACAUUGCAAAACUAGGCACACUAAAUCUUUAGAGAAAGUUAAUAAAUACAAAUUUCUAUGUUAUGAAAGAAUUUUCACCCACUAUUAUUUUAUAAGCAUCUUCAGUUUUAUUUUGACCAAUAACUGAUUUUUUCCUUUAUUUUAUAACUAGGUACUUGACUAAAUUUUCCUAUAAACUCUAAUCAUUUUUGAGUUUAUUUUUUAGUGUUUUCUAGGUAGAUAAUUAUAACUGUUUAUAAAUGGUUAUGUGCCAUGUUUAAGAGUAAUUUUCAGAGUCAAACACAGUUAGGAUUAAAACCCAGCAACUGGCUGGGUGCAGUGGCUCACGCCUGUAAUCCCAGCACUUUGGGAGGCUGAGGCGGGUGGUUCACUUGAGGUCAGGAGUUUGCGAACAGCCAGAACAGCCUGGCCCACAUGGUGAAACCCCGUCUCUACUAAAAAUACAGAAAUUAGCUGGGCAUGGUGGCGGGUGCCUGUAAUUCCAGCUACUCAGGAGGUUGAGGCAGGAGAAUUGCUUGAACCCAUUAGGUGGAGGUUGCAGUGAGCCGAGAUCGCACCACUGCCCUCCAGCCUGGGCAACAAGAGCAAAACUCCAUCUCAAAAAAACAACAACAGAAAAAAAAACAGCAACUAUUUUUCUAGAUACAUUACCUCAGGCAAAAUAUGUGAAUCUCUAAAAGCCUCAUUCUCUUCAUCUGUAAAAUGGUAAUAGCAUUUGUUUCAAAGGUGGGUUAUGAGGAUGAAUUAUGAUUAUGUAAGAGUUUAGCAUAGUGUCUGGAAAAUGUUGAGUGCUAACAAAAAGUUACUGUUUAUUCAUCAUUAUUAUUUACAAAGGAUAAUCAAACUGAAUCCAGAAAAAUCCAUGCAUACUGAACGGGGAAAGAUGCUUCCCGCCAGCCAUUCCAUAGUCUUUGAUAAUCUUCAUAAGCCCAUACAGUACUAUACCAGGGAAUUUAUUAACAAUUUGUCACCAUUUCUGGAAGCCAGAAUUUGGCCUAUUUUGCUCUUGUUUGGGCCUUCUUGUGUAAUCUUGGGCUACUGUUUGCCAUACUAUAUAGUUUGGGUCCUUAAAUCUCAAUUCGUAUCACUUUUUAUACUACAUACCUUCCACAUCAAAGUACACCUACCUUCAACAUCACUUAUAAAGCAACAAUUAGAUCAAGAAUAUUAAGAAUGUUCGAAGUAAUUCACUGUUGAUUACUUGAUUACUGGUACUAGCAGGAAAGCAGAGCCAUCUUAUCCUUCAUUGCAAAACCAUGUUACGAGAAUGCAUCCCUCACAGUAAAACAGAAACAUAUGGCUCCAAAACCAUGGCUUUCAAUCUUAACACUGCCUUCCACCCACAUCUAGCACUCCUGAGGUUAGACUCUGAGGACCCACCUAACUUGUAUGUUUUAACAGAUAAAGACUAAUUAUGAUGAAGCCCCAGGAAGUACUUCUGCCUGUGAGAUCAUGUUUCAAUCUUCUGCCUUCCCUGUUUUAUCCAGCCAUCUUAGAAACUGAGUAAGAAAUACCCACAACCCUUUGUCCUUUACUGGUAAUACUAGUUUAGGGAACUAGGAUAUAAUUACUGAUUCAGUUUUGUUCAACAAAGGUACUAAAAUUUUCAUUGGAUGACUGCUUCAAACAUUGCAAAAUGUAUAAAAUUCUCCACUAAGGCACUAACUGCCAGAAUGGCAGUACUAAAAACCCCACCUAUUUCUAAAUGCUGCAAAAUAGGAGUGUGUUACUACCUUAGAUUGAGAACCACUGCAAUAAGUGAUAUGAGUCUCUCACCUGAAGCUGGGGAAAAACUCCACUACUGCGUAGAGAGAAAACUAUAGAACUGAAGAAUAACCUUGGACCCUGCCAUACACGAUCACAACAUUCUUAACUAGGUCUUCCUACAAUGAUGUGUACCGCAGAACUUGCCCCAGUUUGAGGAAUCUGUUUGAGGAGAAAGGGGAUAUCAGGUCCUAUUUAUAAUAUCUUUGAGAUACCUUGGAACAAUAACCAAUGCACAUAUGAGAAUCUCACUCAAAGCAAUUAUAGUUAGAAUGACUGUAUUUAGAAUCCCCACUGUUCCAAAAUUAUCUCAUUAAACCUUACAUUUCCUGGAUUCUGAUCUUUAGGCUCACUUCAGAUCAUGUCUUUUGGUAUUUCCCCACAUUUGCUCUUGGUGUAUUCUAGUCAUGUUAUAAUAUUAGCCAUGACUCCCCAUUUAGUACUUUGACUUCUGGACACACAGACCAGAUUCACUGUUGAUUUCUGGUACUAAUCUGCAUUUAGCCUGGCAUGGUGGCUCAUGCCUAUAAUCCCAGCACUUUGGGAGGCCGAGGCAGGAGGAUCACUUGAGGUCAGGAGUUCGAGACCAGCCCUGGCAAUGUAGCAAGACUCCAUCUCUACAAAAAAUAAAAAAAAAAUUAGCUAGGCCUGGUGGCACAUGCCUGUAGUCCCAGCUACUUGGGAGGCUGAGGUGGGAGGAUUGCUUGAGCCUGGGAGGUCAAGGCUGCAGUGAGCCAUGGUCAUGCUACUGCACUCCAGCCUAGAAAACAGAGUGAGACCCUGUCUCAGAAAAAGAAAAAAAUUACAUUUGCUUCAUUUUAUUUAACUUAAGAACAACAGAAUGUAGAAUGUGUCCAGUCUUGAGCUCUGCUUAAGUGCUAUGCCAAUGAAUACAUGCUCUUACUGAUAAAUUAGAUAUUAUUUGCAAAGCAGAUAAAAGAAUAAACAGUAUCCCAGAUGAAGAGAAGAAGCUGAGAAGCAGAAAAUAUGGGAACAUGAAAGUUCUCCACAUAUUCAGGGAAUGACACACUUAGUCUGUGUCAGAGUGGCCAGAGUGUAUGAAUGUGUAUGCUGAAGCAGUGAGAGAGAGGGCUGUAAGGUAGAGUCGGGUCAAAAAGAGAAGGUCCAUAUAUGCAUCCUAAUGAGUAUAAUCUCAUUAUAUAAGUAAUUGAGAGCCACUGGGCAUAUAUAAGUAGGUAAAUAUUUUAGAAGAAUUCUAAUGAUAGUAAGCAAAGUGGAUUGAUAGGAGGCAAGGAGAUUUAUUAAGUGGCUAUUGCAAUAGACAAGUAAUGGAUUUGUGGAACAGGGUAAUAAAAGAGAAAUGAAUAGAUUUCAGAGACAUAUAAGAGGUAGAAUUAGCAAAUCUGGUAAACAAUGGGAUAUGGAAUUAAAAGAGGCAUCAAAGAUGUUUUCUAAUUCAGGCAAUUGCAGAAAAAAAAAACUGGAUAAUAGAACAACUUUCACUUUUAAAUAUAUUGACCUUAAAGUAUCUAUAGACUAUCUAGUUAGCUAUAGAAGCUCACCCAGGAAGAGGGUUAGAACCAUAAACAUAGAUUUGACAUAAAUCAGAAAAAAUGGAGGAGAAAAAACUUGGGGGAAGAACAGUGCUUACUUUAGAUAUUAAAGGAGCUAAAGUGAUAAUAAUAAUGAAACAGUUGAGUACAUACUAAAGAAAGAUAGAUUAUUGUCACAAUUUGUUUCUUUUGACAAUUUCCAAUUCUUAGUGGUUUCUUAUCAAUGCUCUGGAAUGCAUUGCUCAUCUGUAAUAAUUUCACUUGAGAUCCUGGAGGGCUAGUUUAAAUAAUAAAUUAAAUAAAAACCAAACUGAGCAGAACAGAUUGUAACUUGUCAUAGAAAUUUCCUGUUACAAGUAAGAAAUAUACACACUAUUGAUAUACACACUUUUCAUUUACUACUUUUUAUUUCAUAGGAAUAAAUAAAAACACUUCCUAUUUCUGAUUUAACUGAUUAAAAAGUAAAAUGGGUAUCCCGAGUUUUUACUUUUAACUAAGUACUUCUGACCUUUAAAAGAUAUAUUGGUUAGACAAAUUUAUAUAGAAAUUCAUUUGAUUAACAGACAUGAGAACUCUGCAAUUGAGAAUCACUAAUUUAAGGCAGGGGAAGAGAGAUGGAAGUGGGAGGGAGAGGUGGAGAAUAAGACAUUAUGGCAAUUUCUUGUUUUCUUUAAAAGAAAAAUUAUGAAAUUCAUUUAUCAUUUAUCUAUUUUAUAAGUGAAUAAAAGUUAGAAAACUAUCCAAUAUAACAAAUGAAAAGAUAUUUCACUAUGAUAUUAAAGGCAGGUAUGUUAGUCAACAGUAAAAAGAGAAAGUACAUAGGAAGAAUGAGGUAAUGGUCACUUGAGGACAAUGAGAAGGAAAGACUAAGCAACAGAGAAAUGCAGCUGGAAAGACAGAUAUGCACAUAUAAAUAUCGCCUCUGUACACAUCUUAUCCAUGCGGUGGUUUAAGCUCACUCAGAAAUUUUCUAUAUUUCCUUACCAGAUCUCAACAAAGAGUGGGGCUUUGUAUCUCACCACUUCUCAGUGCUGCAUGGUAUUUUAAAAUGUUUGUCAAUACAUUGACAGACUAGUAAGGAAUAUUCAUAAUUUGUGUGUCACCAAUCUUGUUUUAUCUAUAUUAGAAUUAGAUAAAACUAAAAAGAGAAAAAUGCACAUAACAUGGUCUGGUCUUUAGCAAUAGAAAUAUUAAUCACAUGUACAUACUAUACAUAUAAAUAAAUAAUCAGCUUAUAUUAUUUAUUUUUUCAAUAUCUUAAAUAUUCAAAUCUUUGUUUUGAAAGCACAUACCAACAAAAACAUUGACAGACUGUUUAAAAUAAAGAAAAAUAUGAUUCCUACCAUUCUUUUCAUUUGUCUGGUACAUCGGGCACAAUACCACACCAGGCGAGGGUCAUUCGCUUCCUUGUCUGUCACCUGGGGUUUAUGACAAUCUCGGUGGUAGAGAUUAUGGCACUCCUGACAUUCUACUAAUUGAUUGCCAGAUGCCACCAUCAUUUGCCUAAGAAAACAUACCAUUAAACAUUACACUACUUUUUUAAAUGCCAUAAUUUAAAGUUAUUUCAGGGGCCAGGUGUGCUGGCUCAUGCCUGUAAUCCCAGCACUUUGGGAGGCCAAGGCAGGCGGAUCAUUUGAAGUCAGGAGUUCAAGACCAGCCUGGCUGACACGGUGAAACCCUGUCUCUACUAAAAAUACAAAAAUCAGCUGGGCAUGGUGGUACACACCUAUAAUCCCCACUACUCAGGAGGCUGAGGCAGGAGAAUCGCUUGAACCCAGGAGAUGGACGCUGCAGUGAGCCAAGAUCAUGCCACUGCACUCCAGCCUUGGUGACAGAGUAAGACUCUGUCUCAAAAAAAAAAAAAAAAAAAAAAAGUUAUUUCCAGGUUGUUCUGGUAAAGUUUGGUAUAUUAAAAAGAAAAAAAAUCCCAGAAACCCAAAGAGCAAAUAACAAACCCCAACACUUGGCAUGCACAAAAGCAUAAGCUUUUAAAGCUUAUGGUCAACCAUUAAUAAAUAUAUAGAAUGCCUUAAUUAAAUUUGGCUAUUUUCUCGUCAUUUCUCGUCAUAAUUUUUGCCUUUCUCUCAGAAGGUAGUAGACUCUGAUUAGUCUUCCAACAGCCUCAUAACAUUUUGUAUCUCCAUUAAAUUCCCUUAUAUUAGUUAGCUGUAUGUUGUUGUUGUUCUUCAUUAAUAUGAGUCACCUAAAGGUGAGUACUGGACCUAAUUAUCCACAGUCCUUAGCACAUUACUGUGCACACAUAGGGUGCUCAAUAAAUGUCUGAUCAGAUUAAUAGAAUGAAGCCAUGUGUGUAUAAAAAAGUAUAAAUUUCAACAGCACAAAAAGCAAUCACCAUAGCCUUAGAUUAUCAAAGGCAUAUAUAUCAUAAUAUAAUAAUCACUUUCCCUCUGGAACCCAAAAAUGCAGAAAAUGUUACAACAUAACAGAUUUAAAAGCCAUAGUUGGGAAAGACAAAAUAGUUGACAAUUUUCAAUAUGCUAAAUUGUUAUAUGGGCAGUUACCUACUUAUCUCCACCCCAGUUCCAAAUAGUAAAAACAAAAUAGAAAAUGCACAACAAUUUUUCUGAUUUUGGGGGUUGAGGAGUGGAAAGGGUCAUGUGUUCUUUAUAAAGUAACAAAAGAAUCUGUGGCAAGGUACAACUUACCUACAAACAACGCAGGCCAAUCCCAUCUCCAUGGCAAAAUCAUCAGCACUGGUCUCCUCAAAACUGGAAAGGUCAGCCAUAGGUAAAUCCUUGCUACUUUGGACAGUAAUGGGAGAUGACUGUGUUUCUGGUUUCUCCAAUCUAGGUUUCUUUGGAAUAUCAACUCCUUCAGUGAUGUCUGAUUUCAUCUAUAAAAAGCAGGCAUCAGAAAAUGAUAAAGUAAUGUGGUAGAAUAAACUUUAAGUCACUGAAAGACGAGUGAGAAGGACAAUUGGCAAUGAACAAGUCCAUUUUACAGAUAUAUUCACAUAGUUAGGGACAGAUGUGCACAUUAAAGAUCUGUAGAAGAAUUGCAAUGAAUUUAUUAGUAUAUUAAAUGAAACCAGCAAGAUAGAAAUAAAUAAAUCAGAACAGUUUAACAAAUAUUUGUAUUUCUCUUUGUACUCUUCUAUCUACUAAAGAAUUAUGGAAGAUCGAUGGAUUUACUUAGACUAGUAUCUACCAUACAGACUUAACACAUAUUUGCUUCAAAGCAAAUUCGGAUUCCCUUCUUUAAGAUAUAAAUAUUAUCAAUAUACCCAUUAGAUUUGGCAAAAAUCAAAAAGUCUGAUAAGACAUGGAAUUUGGAAUUCUUAUACUUUGUUGAUGACAGUGUAAAUUUAGUACAUCUACUUUUGAUAGAAAUUUGGCAAUGCCUAGUAAUGUUGAAGAUGUCAUAUCCUAUUAUAUUCACUUAUAGGUAUACAUCCUAUAGAAACUAUUAACAUGACAUAUGUAUAAAGUAGCUCACUCAAACUCCAUUGUAAUAGAAACAAAGGAGAAAUAUCUAAUUGUGCAUCAGUAGGGGAAUGAUAAACUGGUUAAUCAUUCCCCUAUGAUAAAUCAGUAGGGGAAUGAUAAACUGGUAUUAUGUAGUAGCUAAAAGAAAUCUAGAUCUACAUGCAUUAACAAAGAUACAUUUCAAAAGCACAUAGUUGAGUGGAGAAAAAGUUACCAAAGGAUAUACACACACACAGUAUGAUAACAUUUACAUAAUUUUUUUUUUAAGACAGAGUCUUGCAGUGUUGCCCAGGCUGGAGUGCAGUGGCACAAUCUCUGCUCACUGUAACCUCCGCCUGCUGGGUUAGAGUGAUUCUCACGUCUCAGCCUCCUGAGGUGCUGGAACUACAGGUGUGCGCCACCACACCUGGCUAAUUUUUGUAUUUUUAGUAGAGAGGGGGUUUUGCCAUGUUGGCCAGGGUGGCCAACUCCCGACCUGCUGACCUCAAGUGAUCCUCCUGCCUUGACCUCCCAAAGUGCUGGGAUUACAGGCAUGAGCCACCACACCCAGCUUCACUUAUGUAGAUCUAAAAACAGAGAAAUAAUCUAAUGUAGUUUAUGAAUAGCCACUAUUUAGCAAAAGUAUGAAAACAUACGGGAUAAUAUACUCCAUCUUGAGGGCAAGGGUUACUGAAGAUAUCUUUCAAAUGUAUUUUUUUCUAACUACUAAAAUCUUAAUUACUAUAUGUAGAAAUCAUCUAAAAAUAGACAAUCCAAGAAUCAUCUUUGGCACUGUUCAGGUGCAUACCACUCUAUAAAGUUUAUGUUUAGUCAUUUACAUCUAUACUCUUUCCCAUCUUUUCUUUCUUGCUUUCCUUUUUUUUUGAGACAGCGCCUCACUCUGUCACCCAGGCUGGAGUGCAGUGGCACGAUCACCGCUCACUGCAAUCUCUGCCUCCUGGGCUCAAGCAAUCCUCCCACCCCCCACCCGCCCACAAACAGCUGGGACUACAGGUGCAUGCCACCACACCCAGAUGAUUUUUGUAUUUUUUGUAGAGAUGGGGUUUCAUCAUGUUGCCCAGGCUGAUCUUGAACUCCUGAGCUCAAGCAGUCUACCUGCCUCGGCCUCCCAAAGUGUAUCUAUCUUUUCUUCUUAACAACUGUUCCAUCUAGGAUCUCUGAGGCAUAGAUUAAAGUUUACACUCAAAGUUACUAUACUCCCUAGGACUCAAAUAUUUAUUGACAAUAACUUUUAACCACUUAACUUUAAAAUUUGUAAAUUUUACUCAUUUUUUGAAAAGUCAAAAUCUAUAGCUAUCAAUAUAUAUUCACUGAGUGUUGAUUAUUAUAUACCUAUACCCAUUAUUAUAUAAAAGAAAUAGGCAUAAAACAUUGUUUCUUUCUGCUUAUGGAACAACUAAUUUACUUUCUUUUAACAAGAUUAAAAUAAAAUCUUACUUUAUCAGCAGGUCUCUUUUCAGCUUCCUUCUUUACCUUUUCAGUUGUGAGGACCUUGCCAUUAUUAUUACCAGAAGGAAGACUGGAUGAUAUUUUGGGCUCUUGCUUAAUGGAAAUGUUUUUUGUGCUUGAAAUUUUGGGUGGCUCCACAUCCUAAAAGAUGAAAAAAGGUACCAGUAAUUAAAUAUUUAGACUGAUCAUCAUAAAAAAAGAUCAUUAAUAUAAACAAUUUUCAGUUAAAAAUUAAGACAUUUCAUUAUAACCAAUGUAAUAUUCCUUUCUUAAAUAGUUAAAUAGCUUUAUUGAGAAAUAAUUGAUAUACAAACUGUACCUUUUUUAUUUUUAUUUUUUGGGACAGAGUCUCACUCUGUUGCCCAGGCUGGAGUGGAGUGCUGUGGCACAGUCUUGGCUCACUGCAACCUCUGCCUCCUGGGUUCAAGUGAUUCUCCUGCCUCAGCCUCCCGUGUAUCUGGGACUACAGGUGCACCACCACACCCGGCUGAUUUUUGUAGUUUCAGUACAGAUGGCGUUUCACCAUGUUGGCCACACUGGUCUCAAACUCCGGCCUCAAAUGAUCCGCCCACCUCGGCCUCCCAAAGUGCUGGGAUUAAAGACGUGUACCACCACACCUGGCCCAAACUACACCUACUUAAAGUGUAACAUUUGAUAAGUUUUGACAUAUGUAUACGUCUGUGACACCAUCACUACAAUCAACAUAAUGAACAUAUCCAUCAUCUCUCCAAAUUUCCUUGUGGCCCUUUGUAAUUACUCUCUUACAGGUAUACACCCUAUAGAAAAAUAUGUCUCCCAUCAUCAAGCAAGAAAAAUAUGUCUCCCAUCAUCAGGCAUAUAGAAAAAUAUGUCUCCCAUCAUCAUCAUCACUUAUCUGUUUUCUGUAACAAUACAUUAGUUUGCAUUUCCUAGAAAUUUAUAUAAAUGGAAUCAUAUUCUUUUUUGGUCUGGCUUCUUCUACUCAGCAUAUUUAUUUUGAGAUUCAUCCAUGUUGUUUAGUGUAUCAAUAGUUAAUUCCUUUUUAUUGCUGAAUAAUAUUCCAUUGAAUGAAUAGACUACAAUUUAUUUAUCAAUUUACCUAUUGAUGGAUAUUUGGGUUGUCUGCAGUUUGGGACUAUUACAAAUAAAGCUGUUAUGAAUAUUCAUGUACAAGUAUUUAUAUAUAUAUCUAUGUUUUUAUUUCUCUAGAAAAAAUAGGAGUGGGUUAUAUGGUAAGUAUUAAUAUAUGCUUAAUUACUUGAGAAACUGCCAAACUGUGGCAGUACCAUUUUAUAUUUCCACCAAGCAUAUAUGAGAGAGUUCCAGUUCCUUCCCAUCCUCACCAAUGCUUUGUAUGGCUACUCUUUUUAAAUUGUAGAUGUUCUAAUAGGUAUGUAGUGAUAUCUCAUUUAGAUUUAAUUUAAAUUUCCCCAGUAACUAAUGAUGUUGAGCAGCUUUUCAAGUGUUCAUAUGGCAUACAUAUAUCUUCUUUGGUAAACUAUUUGAUAAAAUAUUUUGCCCAUUUAAAAGAAAUGAAUCUGUUUGUUUUAUUACUAAGUUAAAAGAGUUCUUCAUAGAUUUUGGGCACAAGGCCUUUAUCAGAUAUAUGAUUUGCAAAUAUUUUCUCUCAGUCUGUGGCUUGUCUUUUCAUUCUGUUUAAAUUCAAUUCCUUAUUCAUGUAUUAUAGCUUUGCUGAUAUAGAUAACUUGUUAUUUGUUGUCAUUAAUAGUAUGCAUAAACUUUGGCAGCUCUUGGAAUUCCCCCUCCCCCAAAAGGAGGGCACUUUCCCAUCAUUCUAAACAAAACUAAGGCAGCUGAGUGCAGUCUAUUUUACUGUGAUAAUAUGUAAAAGUACAAAAGUAUAAAUGGGAAUAAUACACAACAAUUUCAGAAUAGUGGUUACCUCUGAGGGGGGAAGAGAAGAAAAAGGAAGGAGGAAUGGGUCCUCAGAUCUAGUGGUGGCAGGGCUUGAUAUAUUAUUAUGCUGAUUGUUUAGACAACGGGUUAGCAAACUGAGGCCUAUAAAUAGUUUUUUAUAAACAGUUAUAUUAGAACACAGCCACACCCAUUCAUUUUAUAAUGUAUGGCUGCGUUCACAUUACCAUGGCAGAAUUAAAUAGUUGCAAUGGAGACCAUCUGGCACACAAAAUCUAGAAUUCUUACUAUUUGGCUCUUUAUAAAGUCUGUUGAUCACUGGUGUAGACUUAGUAAAGUGUUGAAGAAAAUGUUAAUAAUGCAGAUUAAACUUAAAAAUGUGUGGUGGGCAGGUGUGGUGACACAUGCCUGUAAUCCCAGCACUUUGGGAAGCCAAGGUGGGCAGAUCACUUGAGUCCAGGAGUUUGAGACCAACCUGGGCAACAUGGCAAAAUGCUGUCUCCACAAAAUAUAAAAAAAUUAGCCAAGCAUGGUGGCAUGCACCUGUAGUCUUAGCUACUCAAGAGGCUGAAGUGGGAGGAUUGCUUGAACCUGGGAGGGAGAGAGCGCAGUGAGCCAAGAUUGUGCCACUGCACUCCAGCCUGGGUAACACAGUGAGACCCUGUCUCAACAAAAAACAACAGAAAAACAAAAACGUGUAUUGUGUGUAACUAAAAAAUUGAAGACAAAGUCAUGCAGUAUUAAACUAUUACCUAAUUCAGCAAAAAAGUUGUUCUAGUUGUUGACGGAUGAGUUAAGUUUUAACUCCAUUAUUUCACAUUUGCCUUCCUCAUUAAUGUAAAUGAAUAUCAACCAAUAUUCAUGUUAGAAUACACUUGGAGACCUGGUAAUGUUAGUAAGCAUUACCUCCAGGUGAUUCUUAUCCAUGCUAAAGUUUGAGAAACACUGGCAUAAAUCACUCUUCUUACACAAAUCUAGUGAUGAAAAUAUUCAGCUGAAGGCUAAAAUUAAAUGGACCUGGGCUUUAAAAACCUAUAACAAAGUAGUUUCUGAAAACUGAUCAAGAGAAAUGAACUCUAGCUAGAAACCUAAGGGCAGCGUGCUUUUUAAUCACAACAAAUUUUUCAUGUUCUUUAAGAGAUAAACUUCCAUUUUAGAACCCCAUUAAAACAAUUUUUUUUCUUUAGUAAUAAUAGGUUUCCCUAUCUGGACAAUACCAACACCCACAGUGGAAUGAAUUUGGUAGUAUGUUUUGUAGAGCCAUAUUGAUUUGGUCGAUCUGAACUCACUGAACCUACUGCAAUGAGAAUGGAUAGAAGAAAUGAAGUCACAAUGGUUCUGCUAUUCAAAAUACAAUAAAAAGGCUUCGGAGUACUAGACCUAGUAUUGAAAGAAGGCUGGGGACAAAAUGCCAGUGUUUACUUGGGCUCUGAGCCUGGGACUAGAUCCUCUCUUGAGCUUCAGAUUCUGGUUAGACUUGAGCUAGUCAUGUUCUAUUUUCUCCUUCUCAGUUUGGGAUCUAAGUCCACAGACCUGAGUGAUUUGGAGUUUGAGGGUCAGAGCUUAGAAGGAUUUGAUAGAAUGUCUUAGUAGGUAUUAGGGAAUAUAAUAAGAGUUGUCAUUCAGUGACAGCCUAUUAUGUACCAGGCAGGUACUACACUAGGUAACUCAUUUACUGGAUCUCCUUCAAUUUUUACAACUCUGCAAAGUAGUUCUUAUUAUCCCCAUUUUACCAAUAAACAGACUAAGUGAAAUGAAGUUUCUAUGUACCUCAGUUUCCUUAUGUAAAAUGAAGAAAACAGUUAUCUAUCUUAAAGGAUCAUUAUCAUAAUUAAAAUUAAUUAUUCACAUAAACUACUCAGAAAAGUGCCUGGGACAUCAAGAUACGUUGUCUAUUAUCAUCACACAAUUAUAAGAUUUAAGUGGGAUUUAAAACAGGUGUGUUUGGUAUCAAAACAUAUAUUCUUUUCACAUAAAGCUGCCAUUGGCUGCUUUGUUAUUAUCAAGACAGGAGCUACACAGUUCUCAGAGUUCAUCCAUACCUCCUUUUCUCUUAAAUUAUCCUACCCAUAUUCAAUUUAUUUUGUUGAAAGAUCUGUCCUUUUACUUGAUUUUUUUUAAUCCUUAAAAUAUUAGGCAAUAAUUAGAAGUAAGUUGUGGUUACAUUCAGCAGCUUAAAAAAAAUUCUGAUCACAAAGAAUCGGAAAUUAAAGUAAGUCGUAAACAAGUGAAUUCAUAUACACAUAAAGUAGUAGAACAGAAUAUCCUGCACCCCCAGCUGAUUUUUCUAUGUGGUGUAACAGUUCUCUGAAAACUUGAAGGGAAAAAAGAAAAUAAAGAAUAUAAUUUCUUCAUGCUACAAGGAAAGAUUAUUUCGGCAGAGAUUGUUUUGAGAUGGUCUAUAUGUUAUCAAUGUAGUACUACAGGCCUUACAAAACUCUCUCCAAGCUUUUUAUUCAUUCAAGUACCUUUUGAGAUGGACGGUAACUGGAAUCAAUGCCCCGAGCCAAAGAUUCAUCAAGCAGUGCUUUUAGCUUUUCAGCAGAAUCUUUACUCUUUGAAUGCAAGAAACCUAGUGCUUUCAAAAAAAUGGGAUCAAGUUCCAAGUUCACAGUAGCAGCCAUUGCAAACGCCUGAAGGAAAAAAAGAGAAAGUAAUCUAGAAGACAAUGCACAAUUAUCUAUGUUAAAGUUUUACUUUUCUGUUUUUUAAUUUGUAAUAGAUAAUACUGUACACAUGAUAUAAAAUUUAAAAUCACCAAAAAGUUAUUACAAAUAAAAGUAAAUUUCCUUCUUAUUCCUGACAGGCAUUAUCUAGUUCCUUCCCCCUGAAACAACUAGCAGUAUCAGUUUUCUGUGUAUCCAUAUCGAUGGUAACGUUUUAAAUCCAGGUAGGCCUCUCCCUGCCACAGAACUCCUUCCUAACUGUGUUUUAAAAGAUACACUUCGCAGUUUCAGUACAUAGAACUUGAUGGGUUUACGUCAAGUUUACUCUGUAUCAAAAUUUCUUCUCUCAAACCUUAUUUCCAUAACACAAGGGAAGACUUAGUGUGCAGGUGUUUGUGUGUGUAAGGGCUAUCGUAAGAGGGCAAUGGUGAAAAGGUAUAUUAAGUGAUUAGCUAUCAUGGUCACUGCUGCCACUUUUACCUCAACUCUUUUUUUUUUUUUUUCUAAACUCACCUCUUCAGUUCUCUGCCCCAACCCUAAAUGUCUCAGAAAACAUAUUAAUGAUAACCUUAUUUGAUCACAUUUAGAUUGUGGUAUCUCAUGCAUUAACCUAUUUUUAAAAGUAAGGUCUCUGAGGGAUAAUAUCAUAUCUACUUAAAACACACACACACACACACACACACACACACACACACACAGAGCCUAUGAUGCUUUGUGUCCUAAAGAGCUUAAAAAAUAGCCAAGAUGGAUAAAGAUAUACAUCAAAGGCUUAUGAAAUUCCACAAUACUAAAAAGUUUUGUUUUUAGUUAAUACCAAUGCUAUCAUGUGGUUCUGCUUCUGGUUGUCACUUUUUCAAAGACCUCUCCAGGCAAGAAAUUAUCAAAAUAAAAAUGUAUUCUUUGUGUUCAAUCCUUUGAUCAAUAUACUAUGGCUUGAAAUCUUCUAUCCUUGAGGUUAAUAUUGUAUUAAUGCAGCACACUUGCAUUGCUAUAGUUAGGGAACUGUCAGCAAUUCCACAGUUAUCUCCCAUUUUCAGGGGUUUAUAACACCAUUAAAACUUGCUGUAGGUUGAAUCCUAGCAUAUGAAAGCACAUCUGAAAAUGGAUUUUGUUGUCCCCUCCCCUCCAGCUUCACUCCUCAUCCUUCUCCACAUCUGACAAGAAACACACAUACACAUCCCUAGGCUUUUUUUUUUUUUUUUUUAAGUUCCCAGGAAGGUAUUAGUUAUCUACCUGAUAACUACAAAAUUACUGUCGAAUUCUGUACUGUACUAAAAUAUCAUCUGAAUCACCCAUGGAAAGGAAUCCAAAGGCCAGUACUAUAAUGAAAAAGUAACCUUAUCUCAAACUGUUGUAUUUCUAAGAAUUUAACAAAAUUGAAAAGCAGCCUCUGUCACUUCUUAAAAUUAUAUUAUUAUAUACAUCACCUCUACAUAAUGAUAGGUACAGAAAAAUUAUUUUAAAAUUUACUCAUGGGGCUGGUCACCAUGUACGUUCUGAGGAAAAAAUAGCUCCUUAAUAAAAUUUCCAAGAUUAAAAGGGUAAACCUGCCAUUCCCCCAGCAUAUACAAGGGUAACAGCCUAAUCUCUUUUUUUUCUUUAAAUUCCACUCCUGUGACAGUUUACUAAUCUUUCUACUGAUUUUAUUUCAUAUAGGUAAAGGAAAUAGCAGUUUACUUAUCCAGAUUGUUAUAAAACAAUUUAUUUUAUUGGGUGCUGACCAAAGGGUUGACACCUAAAAGAACCCUUGUAAUAUAUUAGAAAAACCAUUUCUUGAAAUUUCUAUGCUGAAAAAUGAAAGCCAAGUAUUUAUUGCUAUGUAUUUCUACAAUCACAGGUAAGAGGUUUACAUUACAGAUUAGGUGACAAGAGUCAGCACCUAGAUUACAAGACUGCGGAAGUCAUCAACACCAACAUUCCAGUUGGAACCUUGGAGUCAGUUCUUUUUAUGCAAUCUUGCCAUUAUAAAACUUAACAGGCUUUGUACCCCUCCCCUAAAUUACUAACAUGGCCCUUUGACCCAGUGGUCCCCAUGGUGGAAUACAGAGAAAAAAAUAUUAACUUUUUAAUUUAUUUCUAUUUCUUUUUUUUUUUUUUUUUUUUUUUGAGACAGAGUCUCGCUCUGUCGCCCAGGCUGGAGUGCAGUGGCAUGAUCUCGGCUCAUGGCAAGCUCCGCCUCACGGGUUCAUGCCAUUCUCCUGCCUCAGCCUCCCGAGUAGCUGGGACUACAGGCGCCCGCCACCACACCCGGCUAAUUUUUUGUAUUUUUUAGUACAGACGGGGUUUCAUCAUGUUAGCCAGGAUGGUCUCGAUCUCCUGACCUUGUGAUCCACCCGCCUCGGCCUCCCAAAGUGCUGGGAUUACAGGCGUGAGCCACCGCGCCCAGCCAAUUUAUUUCUAUUUCUAUUUAUUUUUUAAAAAUCUAUUCAUAUACAGAGUGAUAAUAGUGUGUUAUAUAAUUGAUCUUUAACCUCAAGGAGCUUUAUCUUCAGCCAGUGAAAUCUGAAACUUGCCACAACUAUUGUCCUCUUUUAUUACAAUCAAUUCUCCUUUCUGACUACAAUCUUCCAUUACUCUAUCUCUUCCACUGCCUUAAUCCAGGGACCUCUUCAAAGUGCCAAGUCAAUCUUUCUUCUGUAUUUAUUCAUUUCUCUAUUCCCAUUCUACUUGUUCUUUGUUACAGAAGCCUCCAAUUUCUUGUCCCUUCUGCUUUCUCCUUAUUGGCACCCUCUUGCCCUGACUUUUGUUUCCUCACCAAACAGAAAACAGUAGUUGAACCUAAAAUAAAACACUUAUGGUUAUGUGGUUUAUAUUUUAUAUUUUAGUUUUCUAUCUUACCUUUACUCCCCCUUUUCUGUUGCCUUCUCUAAUCUCUGUUACUUUUCCUUCCUUACCGGCAAAUAUCCAUAUAGUGAAAGAAGUUUACUUUCUACAGCAGUCAUAAAGAGGUCAGCAACUUGGUGUAACUGUGUUGAUCUACACAUACAAAAAUAUUUUCCUGGAGUUACACCAAAUCAUGUUACUUCUAUACAAUUCCUUUCCUGUAUAUUCAUUCCUAAACCCAUGGCCAAAACAGACUGCAAAAGAGCCAUAUCAUUCUUACUAUGGAUUAGAGUUCUAGAAAACAAAGUCCUGUGUGUGUGUAUGAAAGAAAAAUGUAUAUAUGAAAGAUAUUUAAUAUAUUAAAUGUAGGUUUCAUUUAAAAAGUAGAUGUUGCUUUCAAAAAGGAGAAUGUGAGAAAAUUAAUAUUUACCACUUUAAAGCUUUCGCUGACCUAGGGAAGUGGUAGUAGUAGUAUUGAUAGGAGUGAAUUCUUAGGUGAUGCUGGGAAUUAGCUGUGUCAAAUGCAUAUAGCACAAAAAUCGCCAUUACUGAACAAUGAUCUUUUUUCUGUAUCUCUUAUUAUCCUUGAUUUAUUGCAGUAUGCCGUUUACUUCCUAUCCAGCUCACAUUCUGUGGUCCACCCUUUCAAUACCUCUUUCAGUACUCUAGGCACCCGAAAGCCCUGUAGUUUCCCUACUUUAUAGACAUCCACCCUGCUAGCCAUUCUCUCUCUGCCUGCACCCAAACUCUAAGUGCAACUGGGAGGAAUAUACAUACAUUCUAUCUUCAGAAUCACCAUUCUCAGCUUGGCGUUCAGUACAACUUGGCAAUUCUCUCAUCCUUCUCUGGUCAACUCACUUCCCCACUUUCUGCAAAGAUCAGUUAUACUUCCUCCAUUUUCUUUUAAAAUUGCUUCUGUGUUUCAGUAGAUGGCCUCACCUACUUCACAAAGAGAGGCUGUCAGAGAGGAAUUAAGUCGACUUCCUUCCAGCACAUCUACAAACUUACCUGCACUCAUCCUUUCCUCUUUCCCAUCUGAUAAAAAAGGAGAAGGUAGCUCUCUAUGUAGUGUCACCUGGAUCUGGAUCCUAUCUCUUCUUGUCCCCUCUUGAACCUUGGCCUAUGGAUUAUUUCCCAUAUCUUCUUUUUUUUUUUUUCAGCCUUUCUACUGGCAUCUUUUCAUUGACAUUAAAUAUAUUCAAACAUCUUCUAUCUUUUCUCUUUUAUAGCAAAACGUUCUCAGAAAUCAUAUGCUUUUGUACUCUUUUUCUUCAUUCCUUCUAUUUACACAGCAAUUCUUGCAAUUCAGCCUUUGUCCCACUAUUCCAUGAAAAUGCUCUCAUGAGUCAUUCGCCGCCUCAGUCAGGUAAACCUAAUACAUACGAUUGUCCCUCCUACUUCUUUGUCAGUCAUCUUUGUAGGUUCCUCCUAUCCAAUUAAAAAUGAGUUCCUCAGUGCUAGGUUCUGGGUCUCUUCUUGACUUGUUCUACAUCUUCUUCCAAAAAUGUGUUCUCUGAGUCAGCAGCAUAGGUAUCACGUCAGAACUUAGAAAUACAAACUCUUGGUCUCCAUUCCUAGGCCUACUGAAGAAAAAACUCUGGGAGUAGGGUCUAGAAAUCUGUGUUAAGCCUUCCAGGCAAUUCUAUCUACUCUAAAGUUUGGGAAUUAUUGCCCUAGACAAUUUGAUCUAUAUAGUCUUUUGCCAGUGAUUACUAAUACAUCUCUGCAGUCCAUGUGUCUCUCCCAAGAUCCAACUGCCAGCUUGACAUGGAUAUAUCAUUGGUGCCUCCUAUGCAACGUGUCUCCAACAGAGCCACUCAUACACUAUUCCCUUUUCUCCUAACCAGUUCUUCCUCUAGUAAUCCCUUUUUCAAAUGAUAUUUACCCUAUUGCCCAAGCCAGUAACCCAGAAGCAGCUUUAACUCUUCCCACUUCCUUAAUUCCCACCCCCAAUUCAAUAACCAAACCUCUUAAACAUACCUCAAAUCUAUCCACCCUUUUCAAUCCUUACUACUACCACCCUAGACCAACCUAGCAUCAUCUAUUAUCUGGCCCACUGCAAAAGCUUAAUCAGUCUCCCACAAUCACUCUUGUCAUCCCUUUAAACCUUUUCAUAUCACUCACUUGCUUAAAAUCCUUUUAUCACUUCUCACAAUCCAAAGGUUCAAGAAUAAGAUUCUUAACAAGGUCUCCAAUUCUCUACAUCAGGGGUCCCUAACCUUCAGGCCAUGCAGCAGGAGGUGAGCAGUAGGCAAGCGAGGGAAGCUUCAUUUGUAUUUACAGCCACUCCCAUCACUUGCAUUACUACCUGAGCUCUGCCUCCUGUCACAUCACUGGUGGAAUUAGAUUCUCAUAGGAAUGCGAAUCCUAUGUGAACUGUGCAUGUGUGUGAUCUACGUUGUGUGCUCCUCAUGAGAAUCUAAUGCCUGAUGAUCUGUCACAGUAUACCCCAUCAUCCCCAGAUGAAACCGUCUAGCUGCAGGAAAGCAAGCUCAAGGUUCCCACUGAUUCUACAUUAUGAAUGUAAGUUCCAUGAAGGCAGGCAGUGGAUUGGUCUUGCCUACUGUUGUAACCCCUGUCUGGCAGAGUUCCUGGAAAACAGCAAAUAACUGUAAAUGUUGGCCAAGUAAAUACUUGUUAUCUACUUCCAAUUUCAUAAAACUUUCUCUUCCCUUGAGUUCUGUUAUACUCAACUUUUCUGUUUUUCCUCUUCUAUCUCUGACUACUCUUUCUUUGGCUUAUCUUCUUUGUUGCUUUUGGUAUUGUCCAAGUAUUUGUCCUUGGCUAUCUUCUUAGUUCUGCUAGCAGUUUCUUCUUGGUAAUCUUAUACACAUCAGGUUUUCAACUAUCAUCUCUGGGUAGAUGAUUUAAUAUGUUUUACCCCAACUUCAAUCUCUUUUUUUUUUUUUUUUUUUUUGAGACAUGGUCUUGCUCUGUCACCCAGGUUGGAGUGCACUGAGAUCAUGGCUCACUGCAGCCUCGAACUCCUGGGCUCAAGUGAUCCUCCUGCCUCAGCCUCCCAAGCAGCUAGGACUACAGGCAUGCACCACCGUAACCAUGCCCAGAUCCAUUUUUCACCCUACCUGGCAAUCUCAAAAGAAGUCCAAAGUUGAUCAUAUGCACGUGCCCCAGAUGAAGGAAACAGAAACUGUUCACAUAGAGUGCAGUAUUAUCGUUGCCAUUUCAUAAUGGCUCUAAAAAACUUUGUUCUUCAUGACUUCGCAAGCUCUUGCAACCCCUUCCAAUAAACAUUAUUU
rnacentral:lncRNA from 1 species